rnacentral:rRNA from 1 species
CAGUAGCCACGGGAAUACAAAGGGUGCGAGCGUUAAUCGGAUUUACUGGGCGUAAAGCGUGCGUAGGCGGCUAAUUGAGUCGGAUGUGAAAUCCCCGAGCUUAACUUGGGAAUUGCAUUCGAUACUGGUUAGCUAGAGUGUGGGAGAGGAUGGUAGAAUUCCAGGUGUAGCGGUGAAAUGCGUAGAGAUCUGGAGGAAUACCGAUGGCGAAGGCAGCCAUCUGGCCUAACACUGACGCUGAGGUACGAAAGCAUGGGGAGCAAACAGGAUUAGAUACCCCCGUAGUCCCUGUCUCUUAUAC